GACAUCAUGUAACGGUUACAAGGAAGAUUGCAAAUCUUACCUAUUUGAGUUCGACUCUCAUUGAUGUCU
rfam:Sugiyamaella lignohabitans strain CBS 10342 mitochondrion genome.